UACGAAGGGGGCUAGCGUUGUUCGGAAUUACUGGGCGUAAAGCGUGCGCAGGCGGUGAUGUAAGACAGGUGUGAAAUCCCCGGGCUUAACCUGGGAACUGCAUUUGUGACUGCAUCGCUGGAGUGCGGCAGAGGGGGAUGGAAUUCCGCGUGUAGCAGUGAAAUGCAUAGAUAUGCGGAGGAACACCGAUGGCGAAGGCAAUCCCCUGGGCCUGCACUGACGCUCAUGCACGAAAGCGUGGGGAGCAAACAGG
rnacentral:rRNA from 1 species